AUUGAACGCUGGCGGCAGGCCUAACACAUGCAAGUCGAAUGGUAACAGGAAACAGCUUGCUGUUUCGCUGACGAGUGGCGGACGGGUGAGUAAUGUCUGGGAAACUGCCUGAUGGAGGGGGAUAACUACUGGAAACGGUAGCUAAUACCGCAUAACGUCGCAAGACCAAAGAGGGGGACAUUCGGGCCUCUUGCCAUCAGAUGUGCCCAGAUGGGAUGAGAUAGUAGGUGGGGUAAGGGCUCACCUAGGCGACGAUCCCUAGCUGGUGUGAGAGGAUGACCAGCCACACGGGAACUGAGACACGGACCAGACUCCUACGGGAGGCAGCAGUGGGGAAUAGUGCACAAUGGGCGCAAGCCUGAUGCAGCCAUGCCGCGUGUAUGAAGAAGGCCUUCGGGUUGUAAAGUACUUUCAGCGGGGAGGAAGGGAGUAAAGUUAAUACCUUGGCUCAUUGACGUUACCCGCAGAAGAAGCACCGGCUAACUCCGUG
rnacentral:rRNA from 1 species